GACGAACGCUGGCGGCGUGCUUAACACAUGCAAGUCGAACGGUGAAGCGCCUUCCUUUUUGGUGGGUGUGGAUGAGUGGCGAACGGGUGAGUAACACGUGAGUAACCUGCCCCCUUCUUCUGGAUAACCGCAUGAAAGUGUGGCUAAUACGGGAUAUUCUGGGUCUGUCGCAUGAUGGGUCUGGGAAAGAUAUUGUUUCGGUGGGGGAUGGGCUCGCGGCCUAUCAGCUUGUUGGUGGGGUGAUGGCCUACCAAGGCGGUGACGGGUAGCCGGCCUGAGAGGGUGGACGGUCACACUGGGACUGAGACACGGCCCGGACUCCUACGGGAGGCAGCAGUGUGGAAUAUUGCACAAUGGGCGCAAGCCUGAUGCAGCGACGCCGCGUGAGGGAUGGAGGCCUUCGGGUUGUGAACCUCUUUCGCCAGUGAAGCAGGCCUGCCUCGUUUGUGGGUGGGUUGACGGUAGCUGGAUAAGAAGCGCCGGCUAACUACGUG
rnacentral:rRNA from 1 species